GAUGAACGCUAGCGGCAGGCUUAAUACAUGCAAGUCGAGGGGUAACAAGAUUGUAGCAAUACAAUUGUUGACGACCGGCAAACGGGUGCGGAACACGUACACAACCUUCCUACAAGUGGGGAAUAGCCCAGAGAAAUUUGGAUUAAUACCCCGUAACAUAGCGAUGUGGCAUCACAUUGCUAUUAUAGCUUCGGCGCUUGUUGAUGGGUGUGCGGCUGAUUAGAUAGUUGGCGGGGUAACGGCCCACCAAGUCUACGAUCAGUAGCUGAUGUGAGGGCAUGAUCAGCCACACGGGCACGGAGACACGGGCCCGACUCCUACGGGAGGCAGCAGUAAGGAAUAUUGGACAAUGGACGCAAGUCUGAUCCAGCCAUGCCGCGUGAAGGAUUAAGGUCCUCUGGAUUGUAAACUUCUUUUAUAAGGGACGAAAAAAGGUCUUUCUAGAUCGUCUGACGGUACCUUAUGAAUAAGCACCGGCUAACUCCGUGCCAGCCGCCGCCGUAACAC
rnacentral:rRNA from 1 species